AGUAACACGUAAACAACCUGCCUUCAGGAUGGGGACGAACAGACGGAAACGACUGCUAAUACCGAAUAAGUUCCAAGAGCCGCAUGGCCCAUGGAAGAAAAGGUGGCCUCUACCUGUAAGCUAUCGCCUGAAGAGGGGUUUGCGUCUGAUUAGCUGGUUGGAGGGGUAACGGGCCCACCAAGGCGACGAUCAGUAGCCGGACUGAGAGGUUGAACGGCCACAUUGGGACUGAGACACGGCCCAGACUCCUACGGGAGGCAGCAUG
rnacentral:rRNA from 1 species